AUGGUCCAGAUACUGUCCUUGAUCCACAGCAAAAGUGGGACUCUGAGUAGCAUGCCCUACAUACUGAAAGACGUCACAAACCUAAAGGCAAUGUACCAUAGAGAGAGCAGGUUGGCUGACAUAGAAGACACGAUAGCCUAUUUCGAUGAGAAAGCGAAGGAAGAUCCAGAUUUCUUCUACAGGAUAAGAUUGGACGAUGAGGACCGUGUCAGGAACAUGUAUUGGGUGGAUGGUGCUGCACGAAGAGCCUACAAACAUUUCCGAGAUUGAAUUUCGUUCGACGCGACAUAUCUCAUUAAUAUGUACAAGAUGCCCUGCGCUCCAUUCAUAGGAAUAAAUAAC
rnacentral:rRNA from 1 species